CCGAGUUCAUGCCCUUACGGGUAGAUCUCCACCCUUGCAUACCUAAACUUGUUGCUUUGGCAGGCCGUCCGGUCGCCCGGCCGUCGGCUCUCCGCUGGCGCGUGCCUGCCGAAGACCCAACCAACCAAGUCUUAUCAGUGUCGUCAGAGUACUAUAUAAUAGUUA
rnacentral:misc_RNA from 1 species